rnacentral:rRNA from 1 species
CCCAGGAGCCACAAGUGGCAACCACCUUUAUUGGGCCUAAAGCGUCCGUAGCCGGUCAUGUAAAUUUUCUGUGAAAUCGUUGCGCUUAACGUAACGGCGUGCAGAAAAGACUGCAAGACUUGGGACCGGGAGGAGUCAGAGGUAUUUCAGGGGGAGCGGUAAAAUGCUAUAAUCCCUGAAGGACCACCAGUGGCGAAGGCGUCUGACUAGAACGGAUCCAACGGUGAGGGACGAAAGCUAGGGGAGCAAUCCGG